rnacentral:rRNA from 1 species
AGUGAACGCUGGCGGUAGGCCUAACACAUGCAAGUCGAAGGGCAGCACAGUAAGAGCUUGCUCUUACGGGUGGCGAGUGGCGGACGGGUGAGGAAUACAUCGGAAUCUACUUUUUCGUGGGGGAUAACGUAGGGAAACUUACGCUAAUACCGCAUACGACCUACGGGUGAAAGCAGGGGAUCUUCGGACCUUGCGCGAUUGGAUGAGCCGAUGUCGGAUUAGCUAGUUGGCGGGGUAAAGGCCCACCAAGGCGACGAUCCGUAGCUGGUCUGAGAGGAUGAUCAGCCACACUGGAACUGAGACACGGUCCAGACUCCUACGGGAGGCAGCAGUGGGGAAUAUUGGACAAUGGGCGCAAGCCUGAUCCAGCCAUACCGCGUGGGUGAAGAAGGCCUUCGGGUUGUAAAGCCCUUUUGUUGGGAAAGAAAAGCAGCAGGUUAAUACCCCGCUGUUCUGACGGUACCCAAAGAAUAAGCACCGGCUAACUUCGUG